GACGAACGCUGGCGGCGUGCCUAACACAUGCAAGUCGAGCGAAUGAAGUUCCUUCGGGAAUGGAUUUAGCGGCGGACGGGUGAGUAACACGUGGGCAGCCUGCCUCAUAGAGGGGAAUAGCCUCCCGAAAGGGAGAUUAAUACCGCAUAAGAUUGUAGUACCGCAUGAUACAGCAAUUAAAGGAGCAAUCCGCUAUGAGAUGGGCCCGCGGCGCAUUAGCUAGUUGGUGAGGUAAUGGCUCACCAAGGCGACGAUGCGUAGCCGACCUGAGAGGGUGAUCGGCCACAUUGGGACUGAGACACGGCCCAGACUCCUACGGGAGGCAGCAGUGGGGAAUAUUGCACAAUGGGGGAAACCCUGAUGCAGCAACGCCGCGUGAGUGAUGACGGCCUUCGGGUUGUAAAGCUCUGUCUUCAGGGACGAUAAUGACGGUACCUGAGGAGGAAGCCACGGCUAACUACGUG
rnacentral:rRNA from 1 species